rnacentral:rRNA from 1 species
ACUGGUGUCAGCCGCCGCGGUAAUACCAGCUCUCCGAGUGGUNGGGAUGAUUAUUGGGCCUAAAGCGUUCGUAGCCGGCCUGGCAAGUCUCUCGUUAAAUCCAGCGACUUAAUCGCUGGGCUGCGGGAGAUACUGUUGGGCUUGGGAGCGGAAGAGGCCGACGGUAUCCUCGGGGUAGGGGUGAAAUCCUAUAAUCCCGGGAGGACCACCAGUGGCGAAGGCUGUCGGCUAGAACGCGCUCGACGGUGAGGGAUGAAAGCUGGGGGAGCGAACCGGAUUAGAUACCCGGGUAGUCCCAGCUGUAAACGAUGCAGGCUAGGUGUUGGUGCGGCUACGUGCCGCUCCAGUGCCGCAGGGAAGCCGUUAA